rnacentral:rRNA from 1 species
UGCCUACGGGACGCAGCAGUGGGGAAUAUUGCACAAUGGGGGAAACCCUGAUGCAGCAACGCCGCGUGAGUGAAGAAGUAUUUCGGUAUGUAAAGCUCUAUCAGCAGGGAAGAGAAUGACGGUACCUGACUAAGAAGCCCCGGCUAACUACGUGCCAGCAGCCGCGGUAAUACGUAGGGGGCGAGCGUUAUCCGGAUUUAUUGGGUUUAAAGGGUGCGCAGGCGGUCUGUUAAGUCAGCGGUCAAAGCCCGGGGCUCAACCCCGGCCCGCCGUUGAAACUGGCAGUCUCGAGAUGGAGAGAAGUA